CCUACGGGUGGCAGCAGUGAGGAAUAUUGGUCAAUGGACGCAAGUCUGACCCAGCCAUGCCUCGUGCAGGAAGACGGCUCUAUGAGUUGUAACCUGCUUUUGUACGGGGGUAAACGCAGAUACGUGUAUCUGUCUGAAAGUAUCGUACGAAUAAGGAUCGGCUCCCUCCGUGCCAGCCGCCGCGGUAAUACGGAGGAUUCAAGCGUUAUCCGGAUUUAUUGGUUUUAACGGGUGCGUAGGCGGUCGGAUAAGUUAGAGGUGAAAUCCCGAGGCUCAACGUCGGAAUUGCCUCUGAUACUGUUCGGCUAGAGAGUAGUUGCGGUAGGCGGAAUGUAUGGUGUAGCGGUGAAAUGCUUAGAGAUCAUACAGAACACCGAUGGCGAAGGCAGCUUACCAAGCUACUUCUGACGUUGAGGCACGAAAGCGUGGGGAGCAAACAGGAUUAGAUACCCGUGUAGUC
rnacentral:rRNA from 1 species